UUAUUAUCUUCUUCUCCAUGGACAAUUAAUAUGGGCUUUUUAAUUUUGUUGGCUGAAAUGAAAGGGCUCAUCUCAACAUAUGUACUUGUGGCCUCCCAGAGUGUUCUGUCCUCAUUCUGAAAACCAAAAGGUGUGAGUGUUCUGUUGUAAGCCCCAGAGCGUGCAAUUCCACAACAAAAAAGAUGAGGGGCAUGUGCCAAGAGGUUUGCAGUCAUGAAUGCACCGUAUGAAUGUCCUCCAACAGCAAUUUUUCCAGGACAAGCAACUCCACGUUGGAUAACUGCCUCAAUAGCUGCCUCUGCACUUGCAACCAGUUGCU
rnacentral:misc_RNA from 1 species